rnacentral:rRNA from 1 species
GUUUCCGUAGNGAACAUAAUGAUUUUCUGUGGNGAAUCUUAUGGAGCCUUGUACNUCAGCAAUGAGUAANUCCGCGACAUAAAAUAAUGUGAGCUCAUACAUACACAUCCGAACUGACGGGAACAUUCUAAUGCUUACAACACCAACUCAUGAGGGAAACCGAGUGAGGGCAAAUGCUAAUCACAUUUGAUGGUAAUAGCUUGUAAGAUGUACCAAUGAAUUAUCCGCAGCGAAACUCCUAAGUAUGUAAAUAUAUAUGGAGGACGUUCACAGACUAAGUGGUUGUGGGUGGAGUUAACUACUCUGCUUAAGAUAUAGUCGGGCUUGUGGCAUAUGCUACGAGAGAAUUUCAGCACAUGUCAAUGAUGAGAGUCCGCGUGGAAUCUUCCUGAUUUUAAAUCAUCAGGUCAUUCCACAUGGUCUCACCAGACAAAAUAAAUUCUAGAACCGUUCCGUAGGUGAACCUGCGGAAGGAUCAUUACUGAGAACUUGCCCUUUGGGGUAGAUCUCCCACCCUCUGUUUACAUACCUUUGUUGCUUUGGCAGGCCCGCCUCACGGCCGCCGGCUUCGGCUGGCCCGUGCCUGCCAGAGGAUCCAAAACUCUUAUUAUCUCUGCCGUCUGAGUAACAUAUAAUAAUUAAAACUUUCAACAACGGAUCUCUUGGUUCUGGCAUCGAUGAAGAACGCAGCGAAAUGCGAUAAGUAAUGUGAAUUGCAGAAUUCAGUGAAUCAUCGAAUCUUUGAACGCACAUUGCGCCCUCUGGUAUUCCGGGGGGCAUGCCUGUUCGAGCGUCAUUACAACCCUCAAGCUCUGCUUGGUAUUGGGCACCACCGGCUCGGUGUGCCUCAAAAUCAGUGGCGGCGCCACCUGGCUUCAAGCGUAGUAACACCUCUCGCUUCUGGAGACCCGGUGCGUGCCCGCCAGCAACGCCCUCUCUUUAAAGGUGACCUC